UGAUGAUUCCCGAGGAAUUUCCAGGUGCUCU
rnacentral:piRNA from 1 species